rnacentral:rRNA from 1 species
UACGUAGGGGGCAAGCGUUGUCCGGAAUUAUUGGGCGGAAAGAGCUCGUAGGCGGUCUGUCGCGUCUGCUGUGAAAACUCGGGGCUUAACCCCGGGCCUGCAGUGGGUACGGGCAGACUAGAGUGCGGUAGGGGAGACUGGAAUUCCUGGUGUAGCGGUGAAAUGCGCAGAUAUCAGGAGGAACACCGGUGGCGAAGGCGGGUCUCUGGGCCGUAACUGACGCUGAGGAGCGAAAGCAUGGGGAGCGAACAGG